GGUCCCUGCAACUUGUUUAUUACAAGAAAACAACACAACAUCCGAUAUUGUAUGUAGUAAUAUAUUAAGAUAUAAUAAUACUGAUCACAUCUUCUUGUUAUGUUGUGUAUGUAUGGACUAAGUUGUUGACCAUUGCAAUAUCUCUCUUUCCCCGCUCUUCCCACUGUCACUUUCUUCUCUCUCUCUCCCCACUUGCGCACUCUGGAUCACCCCUAACCACUCGCGACGGUGUUCUUCUUCCUCGGUUUAAUCUAGAUUCAGUUCUGCCAUGGUGGUGGAAGGAAGAAGUAGAAGUAGAUCCUUGCUCUCCUUUGAACUCACUCUCCUCUUACUCUCAUUCUUCCUCUGUUUCUCUCUUUCUCUCUCUGAUCCCGAUCUGUUAGAGGAGGAAGCCGUCGCCAACUCCUCCGUAGCAUCUCUCAACACUUCUUCUACUGGUAAGCCUAAGGAAGGCAGCUUCGCUGACAUCAUUGAUCGUGCUCUCGAGAAAGAGUUCAAUGAAAGCGACCAGACUGAAGUGGCUGAUCCUGGAAGCUUCAACAACAGUGUUGCUGGACAGCAGGCAGUUUUGGAAACUGUAGCCAGAGUAAAGUCAACAAAGAAAAACGAGACAAAAGAGGACAAGCGGUUUCAACUCCAUGAUGUCUUCAACUUGGACAAUGAAAACAGAGCUGAGGACACUCCAACUCUCAUUGAUCGAAAAGACAAUGUCUUCAUCAUAUCCAAUUUCAAAUCCAAGUAUCCAGUAUUGCAGCUAGACUUGAGAUUGAUAUCAGACUUGGUGGUUGUUAUUGUAUCUGCAACUUGUGGUGGUAUCGCCUUUGCUUGUGCUGGACAGCCGGUGAUAACUGGCUAUUUACUAGCAGGAUCUAUCAUCGGCCCUGGAGGUUUGAACUUCAUCAGUGAGAUGGUCCAGGUUGAAACAGUAGCUCAAUUUGGUGUGGUGUUUCUGCUCUUUGCAUUGGGUCUAGAGUUCUCCACUGCUAAGCUUCGAGUGGUUAGAUCAGUUGCUGUUCUUGGAGGCCUUCUUCAAAUUCUUCUUUUCAUGUUCUUGUGUGGAAUCACAGUGUCGUUAUGUGGUGGUAAACACUCAGAGGGAGUAUUUGUUGGAGCAUUUUUAUCAAUGUCAUCAACUGCUGUGGUGCUGAAGUUUCUCAUGGAAAAAAAUUCAACUAAUUCUAUUCAUGGCCAAGUUACUAUUGGAACCCUUAUUCUUCAGGAUUGUGCUGUGGGUUUGCUGUUUGCAUUGCUUCCAGUUCUUGGAGGAAACUCUGGUGUUCUUGAGGGAGUGUUGUCAAUGGCAAAAGUGGUGGUUGUGUUGCUUUCGUUUUUGGCUGUUUUGACAAUAUUAUCACGGACAUGCAUUCCUUGGUUGCUGAAGCUAAUGGUCAGCUUAUCAUCACAGACAAAUGAACUCUAUCAGUUAGCUGCUGUUGCGUUUUGCCUACUCGUAGCCUGGUGUAGUGAUAAGCUGGGGUUAAGUCUUGAACUAGGUUCUUUUGCCGCAGGGGUCAUGAUAUCAACUACUGAUCUCGCUGAACAUACGUUGGAGCAAAUAGAACCAAUCCGUAACUUAUUUGCUGCUCUUUUCCUAGCCAGCAUUGGGAUGUUGGUUAAUGUCCAUUUUCUUUGGACACAUGUGGAUAUACUGUUAGCUUCUGUAAUAUUAGUAAUCAUCAUAAAGACAACUAUAGUUACAACAGUUGUCAAGGGAUUUGGAUACAGCAACAAAACGGCUCUUCUGGUUGGAAUAUCUCUGGCUCAGAUAGGGGAGUUUGCCUUUGUACUACUCAGCCGUGCCUCCAAUCUUCACCUUAUCGAGGGGAAACUCUACUUGCUUCUCCUGGGGACAACCGCACUUAGCCUGGUUACAACACCUCUGGUGUUCAAAGUGAUACCAGCGGUUGUGCAUCUUGGAGUACUGUUAAGGUGGUUUUCUCCAGACACUUCUGUAGAGAAAGGAGAAAUAGUAAGAUCAGAAAGUCCUAAGCAACGAAUGAUACUGAUGUCACGCCAAUCCCACAACUCCUAAAACCACAAUGUUUUCUUCUCAUGUAAAGUUUUGUCACACAAAAAAUCUAUGUGGAACCCUAACAUUGUUUGCUUCCUGGAACCCACUAACCUCUGCCCUUUUUCACCAUAUGUUUCACCUGUAAUUAGUAUUGUUUUUUUCUGUCCCUUCAUUGUAAUCUGUAAUGAAAAUAUUUAAUCAAUAUUCAUAUCUCUCAGUUUGUUAUUC